UACGGAGGAUGCGAGCGUUAUCCGGAUUUAUUGGGUUUAAAGGGUGCGUAGGCGGGAUGCCAAGUCAGCGGUAAAAAUGCGGUGCUCAACGCCGUCGAGCCGUUGAAACUGGCGUUCUUGAGUGGGCGAGGAGAGUGGAAUUCCAUGUGUAGCGGUGAAAUGCGUAGAUAUAUGGAGGAACACCGGUGGCGAAAGCGGCUCUCUGGCCUGUAACUGACACUGAGGCUCGAAAGCGUGGGGAGCAAACAGG
rnacentral:rRNA from 1 species